UUCUAUUAGGUUUAGUAUUUUAUUACUUUGGAAUUUUUAAUUGAUUUAGGAUUCCUAAUUAGUAUUUAAGUAGGGUUUCUUGUUUAAGGAUUCCUAAUCCUAGUAGUAAUUGGAGUAGUUAUUUUACCAAAACUACAUGUCUUUUCGAUGGAUUUUAGUAGUUUUGAUUAAUAUGAUUAUUAUUGAGAUUUAGUCCCCUGUUAGGAGACUAGAAUUUUAUAAUCCAAUUGAUUUCUUUUUUGUCAAUU
rnacentral:misc_RNA from 1 species